rnacentral:rRNA from 1 species
GGAGUUUGGACCGUCUCUCAGUUCCAAUGUGGCCGAUCACCCUCUCAGGUCGGCUACCCAUCGUCGGUUUGGUGGGCCGUUACCCCGCCAACUGCCUAAUGGGACGCGAGGCCACCUUCAUCCGGAUUGCUCCUUUGACCUCAAUACCAUGCGGUAUCGUGGUCUCAUGCGGUAUUAGCAUCCCUUUCGAGAAGUUAUCCCCCUGAUGAAGACAGGUUCCUCACGCGUUACUCACCCGUCCGCCACUCGGGUGAACAGAAGCAAGCUCCCAUUCACCCUCGUUCGACUUGCAUGUGUUAAGCACGCCGCCAGCGUUCGUCCUGAGCCAGGAUCAAACUACU